rnacentral:lncRNA from 1 species
GGGAAUGGUUAACGAGUGAUGAACCUCUCUCAAAACCGGUUGUUAUUCAGCAAACCAGCAAGUAAUGUCGUGAGUAAAAGCAUUAUCGAUGAUUGUUCUCUGAGUUUGAUGAUGGGGUUCUUUGUCAUCUGUCUGAAACAAAAGGACACAUGAAUCUCUAUCUCACAGCUCUCGUGUCAUUCCUUUUCCUUUUGUCUGACACGUUAUUACAUAGAUGACGUAAUAUUAUAAUAAAUGACGUAAUAAAAUGAGAAAGUAUAAUAAGUUCUGUUACUCUCUCUGUAAUAAAAGAAAGAGAAUCGAGAUAUUACUUGUUAAGCAAGAAAGCGUGAAAACCAAAAAACCUUAAAGAUGGAUUCCUUACUAGAUAGGUCCAGAUGUGGAGGACAACUGUUUGAACCGAAAUCGGUACUGUGCAGGAGAUAGACAGAUUUCGAUGGUGGGGUUAGGAGAGGUCUUCAUGCUGAGUUUGAACUGGAU